UACCCUUGACAUGCCUGGAAUCCUGCAGAGAUGUGGGAGUGCUCGAAAGAGAGCCAGGACACAGGUGCUGCAUGGCCGUCGUCAGCUCGUGUCGUGAGAUGUUGGGUUAAGUCCCGCAACGAGCGCAACCCUUGUCAUUAGUUGCUACGAAAGGGCACUCUAAUGAGACUGCCGGUGACAAACCGGAGGAAGGUGGGGAUGACGUCAGGUCCUCAUGGCCCUUAUGGGG
rnacentral:rRNA from 1 species